rnacentral:rRNA from 1 species
AUGUCAGAGAAGUUUGAGAUGUCUAUGAUGAGUGAACUCAAAUUCUUUCUCGGUUUGCAAAUCAAGCAAACUAAGGAAGGUACAUUUGUCUCUCAAACAAAGUACACCAAGGACUUAUUCAAGAAGUUCAAUAUGCAAGAAAGCAAAGGUAUGCCUACACCCAUGCCUACUAGUGGACAUCUUGAUUUGACCAAAGAUGGUGAACCGGUUGAUCAAAAGGUUUAUCGCUCUAUGAUUGGUUCUUUGUUAUACCUAUGUGCUUCACAUCCCGACAUUAUGCUAAGUGUGUGCAUGUGUGCACGUUAUCAAGAUGCUCCUAAAGAAUGUCAUCUUAAGUCCGUGAAAAGGAUAGUGAGAUACUUAAUUCAUACACCAAACUUUGGCAUUUGGUAUCCUAAGAGGUCUUCUUUUGAUCUUGUUGGCUAUUCCGACUCGGAUUAUGCCGGAGACAAGGUUGAUAGAAAGUCUACUUCGGGUACUUGUCAAUUUCUUGGUAGAUCUCUUGUGUCUUGGUCUUCCAAGAAACAAAACUCAGUAUCCUUAUCCACCGCCGAAGCGGAAUACAUUGCCGCUGGUUCAUGUUGUGCUCAAUUACUUUGGAUGACCCAAACUCUUAAAGAUUAUGGGAUCCAUGUGAAACAUGUUCCACUGCUUUGUGACAAUGAAAGUGCUAUCAAAAUUGGUCAUAAUCCUAUACAACAUUCUCGAACUAAGCAUAUUGAAAUUCGUCAUCAUUUCAUUCGAGACCAUGUUGCUAAGGGUGACAUUGAUCUUAAGCAUGUUCGCACCGAUAAGAAAUUAGUGGAUAUAUUUACUAAACCUCUUGAUGAGAAAGUAUUUUGCAGGUUGAGAGGUGAAUUGAACAUUAUUGAUGCUUCGAACCUGGAGUAG